rnacentral:rRNA from 1 species
AGCGAACGCUGGCGGUAGGCCUAACACAUGCAAGUCGAACGGCAGCACAGUAAGAGCUUGCUCUUACGGGUGGCGAGUGGCGGACGGGUGAGGAAUACAUCGGAAUCUACUUUUUCGUGGGGGAUAACGAAGGGAAACUUACGCUAAUACCGCAUACGACCUACGGGUGAAAGCAGGGGAUCUUCGGACCUUGCGCGAUUGAAUGAGCCGAUGUCGGAUUAGCUAGUUGGCGGGGUAAAGGCCCACCAAGGCGACGAUCCGUAGCUGGUCUGAGAGGAUGAUCAGCCACACGGGAACGGAGACACGGUCCAGACUCCUACGGGAGGCAGCAGUGGGGAAUAUUGGGCAAUGGGGGCAAGCCUGAUCCAGCCAUAGCGCGUGGGUGAAGAAGGCCUUCGGGUUGUAAAGACCUUUUGUUGGGAAAGAAAAGCAGCAGGUUAAUACCCCGCUGUUCUGACGGUACCCAAAGAAGAAGCACCGGCUAACUUCGUG